rnacentral:rRNA from 1 species
CACGUAGGGCGCGAGCGUUGUCCGGAAUUAUUGGGCGUAAAGAGCUCGUAGGCGGCCUGUUGCGUCCGCUGUGAAAGCCCGGGGCUUAACCCCGGGUCGGCAGUGGAUACGGGCAGGCUAGAGGUAGGUAGGGGAGAAUGGAAUUCCCGGUGUAGCGGUGUAAUGCGCAGAUAUCGGGAGGAACACCGGUGGCGAAGGCGGUUCUCUGGGCCUUACCUGACGCUGAGGAGCGAAAGCGUGGGGAGCGAACAGG